GGGCGGGCUCUGUACGGCGGGACGCCAUGAACCAUGUCAGGCGGGGAACCGAGCAGCAUUAAGUGGACUGCCCCGCGCGAUACAGGCGGUCUGUUCGUC
rnacentral:SRP_RNA from 1 species